rnacentral:rRNA from 1 species
AUUGAACGCUGGCGGCAGGCCUAACACAUGCAAGUCGAGCGGAUGAAGGGAGCUUGCUCCUGGAUUCAGCGGCGGACGGGUGAGUAAUGCCUAGGAAUCUGCCUGGUAGUGGGGGAUAACGUCCGGAAACGGGCGCUAAUACCGCAUACGUCCUGAGGGAGAAAGUGGGGGAUCUUCGGACCUCACGCUAUCAGAUGAGCCUAGGUCGGAUUAGCUAGUUGGUGGGGUAAAGGCCUACCAAGGCGACGAUCCGUAACUGGUCUGAGAGGAUGAUCAGUCACACUGGAACUGAGACACGGUCCAGACUCCUACGGGAGGCAGCAGUGGGGAAUAUUGGACAAUGGGCGAAAGCCUGAUCCAGCCAUGCCGCGUGUGUAAAGAAGGUCUUCAGAUUGUAAAGCACUUUAAGUUGGGAGGAAGGGCAGUAAGUUAAUACCUUGCUGUUUUGACGUUACCAACAGAAUAAGCACCGGCUAACUUCGUG